GCUGCCACUGCCGCUGCUAUUGCAUGUGCCUAUAGUGUGUUCAAGAAAAACACGAGCCACUCCACAAUACGUCAAACGAUCGGAAUCAGACGAGGUUGAGGUGAGGUCGUCAAUGUUGCAGGAUGACGACGCGGUCAUCCGCAAUGGAACAGGGUUGGUACAUAAUGUCAAGUUUUUCCAUACGGUGAGCAACCCUCGUAGUCCGAGUUGAUAUAAUUUAAACAAUUUCGAAUAAUCAUCGACAAUAUCUUCAGAAAUCGAGCCAUCGCAUAGCCGCCGACGACCUGUGCCACGACCUUUGUCCCUUCGGAGAGAAUAAAAGCGGCUCCUUUUAUUCUUCACGUGGUGCGUAUUUGCACCGCGGGAGAUGGUUGGUGGUUUAUACCGAAACCACACAUCCACUUGCAUUGUCGGUAGGAUAAUUAUGCCUCGUUAACAAAUAGCUGCUUCCUUUGAUCCGUAUGGCGAAGUUUUUUUCCGCGCGUUACCUACAAGGGUUGAAAAAUCCAUCUAGACACCAGGAGCUUGUGAGAAUUAUGACGGUUGUUGACGUACACGUGUACUCGAAGGGACGGCUGGCGGAACGAGAAAAGGGAAAAAGUAGCUGAAAAAAAAAUUACGAGAAAACUGAAAACCCUCCUUCAUUUCGUCGUCGACGUGGAUAUAUCCGGCGAAAAUAUGAAUUGUAGGGCUAAUGAACCUCGUAAGUUCGUCGAACGGCUUUAUUCAAAGAUUCGCAUAAAUAUUUCAUCGGUGAUCGAUCAAAUAAACAUUCCUGCAAUGUAUCAGCUCAUACACCGUCGUAUACCGCGGCGUGGAAGCGAUUUUUUUCUUUCUCUCUUAUUCUCAAUGUGUUUUUUUUUUUUUUUUAUUUCGCCUUCAAACAAACCGCAAACCACGAGGAGUUCGAUUGUUCUUGUUUUAUCGCAUGAGAUACGAGCUGACCGGGACCCACCGCAAGAUGAUCGCCCUGCUACUAUAGCUUUUCAUGCCCACAUUUGCAUUAUUUCAAGGUCCCUUUACCACGAUUUAUUCCACUCCGAGUUCGACCACGAUUAUGUAUAUUAUUCGACUGGUUCUCAAUCGGAGUGAAUUUUAGAUCGGACGGACAAUUUAACGAUCUUUUAGUUUUUAAUCGACUGGAAAUAGCAGCGGCGUUCUAUCCGCUGUGUAACCGUCGGCCGUUCUAAUGGAGGUGCAGCUUCAAAAUUAUCAAAUCCCGGUGGUAUUAUUUGGCUAGCUGUUACCUACACAGCCGUAUCCCGCGGACCCUUUUCACGUGAAAUCCUUUGUCAAUUUUGAAAUUACGUAGACCAAACUACAAAGAGAUUCCAUCCGACGUUUACAGAGACGUUUGCUGUUCCCGAUGUUAUGUAUAUAUAAGGAUAAACAGGAAUUCCUUAAAUACAUCACAUCGAGCAUUACAUAUUACGAUCCUUUACGUUGUGUAAUGGAAAUUUAGCGAGCGCACGGACAGAAGCAUGUAUCUGCCUACGGACACUUGAGUUUUUCUACGUAUAAUGUGAAAAUAGAUUAGAAUAAAAUGAAAAUCUUUUUUGUCGUCCACUUUUAUCUGCGAUUGUGUUCAGACAUUUUCAUACGUUACGCUUUUGUACGCGCCGGUAAUUCAAGUUCCGGUUUUGUUUUAUGGAGUUGUUUGUGGGUCUCUGUAACGAGGAAUGAUGUUCUAUGGAAUCUGAAAUCUAGGAUCUUGCCUCUCGAAUUGUCGUACACGUGGGUUUUAACGAACGGCUUUUAAAAGCGGCGGUUAAAAAUAAUGAGCCGCUACCAUUACCGCGGUUCAUGAGUCCCACGGUUAGACUUUACCUACGUAUACAUGCCCAUUAUCCCAUGGUUACUUCUGGUCUCCGAAAUGACGAUUCAUGAGAACAUCGCGAAGCUUACAAUAUGUCGUUUGUAUUUCAGCUCCUCUUGGUCUCCUUCCUCUUUCUCUCUUUUCGCUCAUUUUACAAAUCGGAGGGGGGGGGAAAAAAUGUCGCGAUCGAUUUUUGCUUCUUGCGACAAAACGAAAAAAGAAAAAAAAAAAAGGAGAUUCCCUCGUAUUUUUCAACUCUCGAAAGGGCGUCCAUCGCGACCAACCGUACAGAGUGGUGGCCGGUUCUCGGGGAAUCCCAUGAGAAAUUAUCUCGGCAUAGGUCCGUCGUAGGUCCCUCGGUAAACGACGUACAGUUCGUAAAACUCAGUUCCGUUAUCCAAACCCACUAAUAAUGCCUUCGGUAUUUUUAUAUACCUAUAAAACCCCGGGAACGACGGAUUGAUUUGACGGUAAAAAGAAAAAUGAAAGAAAUUCGCGGUUCGUUCGCGAUGAAAGUUGACCGUUUCGUUGGGUCGAAUAGGUCGCGAAUUCGAAUACACUAUUCCGUUCCUUCUUUCCCCUUCAUACCGUAAUUUGAGAAACUUUCUCCGUUUCAAUUUCGUGGACAUUUUACCAUCCGCGUUUUCUUUCUUCUAUCUUUUUGGUAGCUCCGCGCGCCUUUCGGUACGUCCAAAAAACAUUUUGGUUUCCGACCUCCCCGGGUUCCUCGGCUCUACAGUUUUACAGUUUUCAGUUACUGCUAUUCGACGUGCAGGUCGUUCUCGCUUCUCCAUUCUUCAGGGGGCUAUUGUCAUACCAACUUCCAUUGUUUGAAAUUCAUUACGUCACGCGAACUUUCACGUUUGUAACCAAACGUAGCUUCGUACAAUAUACAUAAAACCCGCGUUACAUCUGUCUCGUAGACUCUACACGUGUGUAAGUACGGUGACGUGCACGUGUCCGACGAGUAAACUUACUUCUAACGUUCGUUCAUUUUCACGUAGCUAUACACAUCGAAACUAUGCGCAACCGCUUAAAACAACGCGUUUGUCGCGCUACCUUCCCUCGAAACUUCAAUGCACAGUGUGUACGGAGGGUAAAUGUUACGCGUGCGCCGCCCUGAUUUUACUUUUAGUUAUCCUCACCUGCCUGCAGAUAUCUACCUGUAACCGCGCAUAGGUACAGUGAACCGAAUCUACUCCUACCCCGCUCACCCUACUCCACUGCAUUUGGUCCAGAGGGGACCCCGCGCGGCAGACCAUUGUUACUAAACUACAGGAUUUCACGAUUUAUUACACUUUUUGUCGAGCAUUGUAUAACCCAGGUUCCCGCCUGCCUGUAUAACUCGUAUUCGUAUACAUUCGUGCUCAUACUCAUGUUCAUGUUAUUCAUGUAUUUGCGAUACUAUACCUCCGCUGCCCGCAGUGGAACUUCAACGUUCGGUUCCUUUUUUUUUUACGUUUUUUUUUUUCGUUUUUUUGUUCUUCCCCCAUUCAUUACCAUUUGAUUGUCUAGGGGAACCUCGUAUAACGUAGUCGAGAGACAAAACCGAACAUUGAGAACGGUGUAGAGAGUGAUAGAAAAACACCUAUGAGAUGCGAAUUCAAAAAAGAAUGAAAAUGAAAGAGAAUAAAAUUCUGCAGCGUGCGGUAUAAGGUGUACAUCUAUUGUAGUAGCUGUUGAGUAUAUGCAUGAUACAGAUUUAUGAAUUGUCGGAUGAAAACCGGUGUAAAUAGCGCGGUGAGAAUUUUUUUUGCUAAACUUGCUACGAAUCGAGGUGAUUGAUUCCUUGGUGAUUCGACAAUAUCGAUCGUACAUUUAUUUCGAAUCGUAUCGGCCGAGUUCGUUGACCCCGUUGGACCGGAAUCGAUGGAUCAAUAACGUGGAAUUUUGAAGUCUUCAAAUCUCAGUUCAUCGGAAGUAUAUUCCCUAUAAAAUCACGCGGGCGAACGUUAGGUAUCCCGCGUAUCGAGUUUGGUUCAUUACGCAAGUAGUCUUCGAUCACCCAACCCGAACUGCAUUCUAAAACUCAAACUACCAUUCACCCACCUUAUAUGGUCCGGAAUUCGGUUGUACGGUAUCGAGUCGACAUUGGACGGGAAGAUUUUCAUCCUACAUUCGAUGCUGCCUCUCAUUUAGGGAUAGUCACUUCUUCACGCUAUAGGAGACAUUUUGGAACGUGAAAAUAAAUAUUUUCUUCCAAACUUUGGUUACGAUCUCCUGGUUGAUUCUUAGAUUUAUCAUUACAGGUAGUUUGUGAAUCUUUUUUACCACUAACGAUGAUAUUUUACCUUUUUUUUGUUGCUUUGGAUCAAUUUUUUGAGCUAGUUGAAAAUGACACUUUGGACGGUGGGUAUCCUGAAAUAUCGAAUCAACGUUUGAUAAUUGAAAUUAUGGGGAAAUAUUGGGUAACACGAAGUCUGGACGCGGUAGAUUUUCACAAAGACCGUGAAGAACCAAUGUUGCGAAGGCCGGUCUCGGAUUUCUGCAAUUUCGAACCAACACCGUCGCAUCAUCGAUAUUCCGUACCGCUAGCCUAUCAAUAGACAUGCUUCUCGAUAUCAUAGUACAUACAUAAUAGCACGGGGGUACGCUUAUUACCCGUAUAUAUAAUAUAUAUUUUGAGCGAGCAUCAGUCGAUCGGUUACUACCAAACCAGAGGGUAUCGAAUAUCGUAUCGCGUCACUUUGACGGUUACUUCAGAAACUAUAAUACAUGAAACCAGUGAAAAUACAGCUUUGUGAUAUCACGCAGUUUCCAAAAAUUGAGAUAAACGAAAUUAGCGAUACACUAGAAUUGUUAUUUUUUGUUUUCAUGGAGAAUACGAUCAAAUUGACGUACUUUGAAAGGUGAAACUCUUCAUCUACUUUUUGUUAAUUUGAAAAAAAAAAACAACGCGGUUUUUCACAUACUUGGAUAUCGAAUCGGUGCGAACAAUUGUUCACUCGUUGUUAAUUAAUGGAUUCUUUCUUUCCCUUCGUGCUAUGUCACGUACAUCGAGUACAAAGUAUAUGGGGUAGGUGUGUAGGUACCAACCGACGCAUAAAUUUCACGGGCUUGUGAAUUAGAUUAGAAAUGGCACCUCCGAAUCAUUUCAUUGUUCAAGAUUUCUCUAUUCAUACCGAUGUUUAGGUAGUCGACUUCAAGUGCGCUGCACUCAACUCUAAUUAAUAAGGUCACGAAUGCGGUAAUGAAGAAGCGACCACCACCACGCGUAUUAUAAACCAGAAACCUCCAUCUCAAUAUCAUACUUAUACAUGUACACGUACGUACAGAAGUAUACAUACAUACAUGGUUCACACGUUCAAUUUUGCUUUUUUGUUUCUCAUCUUUCAAAUUUCUAUCUCAUUGUCAGUAGUUUUGAUUUUAUUUAUCAUUUUUCUCCGUUUUCCAUGGAUAUUUUUUGUUUCUUCACUUUUAUUCCUCAAGCGUGUUCCAAUUUAUGAUUUUCUAUUAUACGAUUUUCCUUUUUUCCCUUUUUUUUUAAUCUCCCCCUUUUUAUUUUCUAUGGAUCGUUUCAUUUAAGUGUGUACAAGAGUUUAAGAAAUGUCGUAAAAUAUUGUCUUCCAAUAACAGAUAUAAUACAUAGAUACGUAUAUACACGUAAUACAAUACAUAAAGCCUAUAACCAUUUACCAAAGCCUAGAAAAUGUGUUGGUUUUGAGCUCCCAAGCUAGCCAGCGAACAGCUAGACCGGGUAAUUUCACGUAACUUUCUAGUACUGCAGAAAACUUUUUCGCUCGAUUUCCUCUCUUGCCACAUCGCACCCCUACGUACUGCAAUUCCACGGCGAGAACGUGUCUCUCCUUUUUUCAAUCAAAGACGAAAUAAAAAUUAUAAGACUUUGAAGCCGGAAUCGUAUCGCUCCUCGAUAAAAAACGAAAAAAAAAAUAGAAAAGAAAACUAAAUGAUGCGAAUGAAAAAUGUUUUAAUUACUGAAAUUACUAAAAUAAAAUUCUAGUGACAAUGUAAGGUUAAAUAUAUUUUGCAUCUUGUUGGUGCUUUUAACUGCAAAGAAGACAAAAACUGGGAUUCGCAUUUAUGGAAUACGUGUACGGUACGAGCAAUGUGAAAAAUUCUUCUCUCCUAACACAUAUGUAGAAUACUCGCCAAUGAACGUGGGAGAAAAAUUUCAAGUACCUAAAUAUAUUUUUUUCUAAAAGAUACUCGAGAGGGGAUGAAUUUUGCGUAGUUUGAGUUACACGAGUUUUUUUUGAUUUUCUCUUUUCUUUCCGUUUUUGCGAAAAGCGAAUGUUUGCAUUCUAUGAAAAACUAACGCGAACUCGUCGUUACUGAGAUAUUUCAUUUCCAAGGUAUCUUUCAAGCCGACGCAGUGGAUCACCGCCCGUUUUUUGAAAUCUUUUCUUUUUUUUUUUCUAUUCACGUGUAUACAAUAUUUAACAUAAUGUACCGCAAAGGCAUUUCAGUACGUCUAUCGCGUGUUGCUUUUUCUCGCAAUUUUUGCCACGUAAUACGGGGGUGAUAAAUUUUUUUUUCUCACACCCUUCGUCUUUUUUUCUUGUUAUUUUUCGUUGUCACUUUCUUACCGUCGCGGCAAAGGUACACCUGCACCCACCCCUUGAAAAAUCAGUAUAGAAACGAAAGAAGACAAGAGAGAGAGAGAGAAAAAGAAAAAUCAAAAAUAUAUGAACGAUACCGGAGAAUAUAAUGGGAUCAUUUUUCUACACUAUGUAUGUGCGAAUUUUUCUAUGUACUAUUCGCACGGUUCGCAGGAUGUGGACAGAAGGGUUGAAAUCCGGGUGAUAUAUCUCGCAGUUUCUCCGUGUCCUUUUGCACCGCAUGAAAGUUUCUCAUUUUUAUAAAAUUACCAACGCCUUGGAAUACUGGAAGGUAGAAUAUUCAAUAGAAUCGAAACGAUGACACAGCAAUACAAGACUCCGUUUUAUUUGCUACUCCCAUUUUAUAUCGUCUAUAUCUGCAUCCGUUUCUUCAGGUAUUCUUCCCCUUUCGUAUCAUAGCGGAUACAAUACAUACCCAUGUAAUAUGUAAAUACACGCAAUACGAACAAUAUUCAUCUCCGCGGUUCAAUCUGCAGCGCGAUAUCGUUAAAAAAAUAAAUAAUAAUUUUAAGCGUCCUGUGAAUUGUUCGGGUUGCUUAUUUUAGUUUUCUCAAGUUCUUUUUUCACACAUACAUCUGAUGUAGAUAUUUGAAUAUUUUUUUUUUUCUGUGUUUAAUUGGAUGAAAAAGAAGAAAACAAAGAUUGCCACGAAUUAAUUAAGAAAACUUCGUAUCGAAUGGUAAUUUUAGUCCAGUCCGAUGCAAAUUUUUACAUUUUCACCAACGGUUUUAACAAUCUGUGUUAAGCACUCGUUUCCCACAUUUGCGAUUCAUGAAAAAAUAGGGAAAUAAAGUUAUGGUGAACAGACAAAUAGAUUGUGCAGAAAAUAAAAUUUACGAAAUCAAAAAAAAAAGGGGGAAAAAUUACAUUCGUUAUGUCUACUAAAUACAGACACUCCGUGGAAAGUCGUUAACAAUAAUUAAAAUUACGAUAGAAAUAGAAAUUAUAACGGUACAUAUGGAAUGACGAUGCGGAUAAAAAAUUCACAUACAUUACACAGCUAUGGAAAAGGAAGAAAAAAUUAUAGCCGAAGGUUUUCACCCAUUUCUACGAAAACUGAAAUAAAGUCAAAUUAAAAUCUGAACUACAAUUCAAAAAAAAAAAAGAGAAAGAAAGAGAAAAAAUAUUGAAAUGAGAUAAUAUGAAAAUAUAAAUGUAGUUGAUUUACUGGAAUUUUGAAAAUCCUGAAAUUGUAUCUCUAGUUGAAGCUGUCUCAUGAUAACUGGGAAUUUUGCUCGUAGUUGCAGCUGCCGCUGCCGCUGCGCUCUUUCUGUAUUAGAGUAGGUAUUAUCUGCCAUACUGCAGUAUGAGGUAAUAGAAUUUAACGAUCAAUUGAAAAGCGAAACUGCAGACUUGGAAGUUAUUGGUUGUAAAAUCUAUAAAAUCCCUCUACGUUUGAGCGUUUUCAUAUGUGCAGGGUCUAUAUGCGGCUAGAGAUAUAAUUCAUAAUGGUAGGUAUCAAAUGAUACCGAUGCAACGUGAUAUGGGAGAAGAAAUAAAAGUAAAAUAAAAAGGCAAACCGCAAAUGAGGGAAAAUCUGGCAUGGUAAAUCUGCCGCAUUUAUAUCCAGCUGGGUCUGUUGCUUUUUGAAUAUAAUUAUCCUAACAAAUUCGAUACUCCGCUCAUAGGCUUUCAAGAAAUACACCUGCAACCCCGCAUGUAAUCUCGAAAAUUAUCCAAUUGAUAACAAUAACGCUGUUUGAUUAGGCUCACGCGCGAACGCACCAAAUUAGAUUAUGAUCAAACUGCCCACUGACAUUUACCGCGUUCCCCCGUUAUAAUCUAUAUACUAUGUACGUCGUACGUACGUACAUAUGUAGUCGACGUACGUAGAUACAUACGUUGCGUACAGUCUGCGCUAAAUUUAUCCGUAACACCCGAAAAAUGAACAGGAAAAAAGAGUAAAAGUUCAAUAAAAAUUCUAGACAAUUUUUCGUGGGAUAUUUUUGAAAAUUUUUUCAUCAUCCGUGUCGAGAAUUUGCACUAUAGUUUCCUAUGUGAAGAAUCGAUCGCGCGGCUGUUAAUAUGCCUAUUAUGUUGGGGGUCGCUAUUCACGUAGAUUAGGAAUUUCCUAAUAUACCUAAGCCUACUGCAACGUUUUCAUGAAUUGCUUGGAAUUAAUUAAAUUACCUCUAGCGUAUUAAUUGGCUUUUAUUGAAGCUAAAUGAAAUUCAAUUAACCCCAAUAAUCCGUCCAACGUGUUAACUGCUGCUCGGUAAAAUUGUUCAACCAAGUUUAGUUUAUCUCCAACAUUACGUCGCGAGUAUAUUACGUAUCUUCUUACAUCUUCGCUCAUCCGUAAAACGAGAAGAGAUAAAAAUACCGGAAACACGAAUAAACCGGAUACGGAAGUUCCAUAAAUUCGCAUGGUCACGUGACGGUAUUGAAACUAGUUCGUAGAUUAGGAUUUUGGUCAACGAUUCGGCCGGUAGUUUUAUCCGUGUGUAUACGAGACCGUGCGAUAGUUAUAUCGUGACAUUAGUGACGGGAGAGUAACCGCUGGGAAUUUUUGAAGGAGUAUUAGAAGUCCUUCGGAAGUACGCAGAGUCCUGACUCCGCUUAACUCCUUUCCCCUCUUCUUCUCCCAGCCUCCUUUUGUGAGCGGGUGUUGUAAACUUAGUAACGCAGGAAUUGUUUAAUUGCUCAGCGUCGUCUCGGUUAACAAAUACAGUAGGUAUGAGGUGGGGAUAGGUUUCUCAACGAUGUGACGAAGCAAGGACACCCAAGUCUCUCUGCGUCCACGACGUUCGUCUCUACGGCGAAACAUACUACAAAGUUUUGUUACGACGACUGCGCACGAACGACGCUGCGUCUUCCCGAGCGAAUAAUUUUACCACCGACGAUUUAAUCUGAAUGAAAAUGAAAAAAAGCAUAAUAUCCGAACAUACGUAGAAACUUUUCAUAUUUCAUUUUUUGCCAAAUUAGUUCAUUGUCUUUUUGGUAGCGCUUCUACAUUUUCGAAAGUCGCGUGACGCCGUAUAGUAUAAUCCAUGAUCCCUCUGGCUUCGAGAUUAUAGAAUCGCGUUUCGAUUUUUACACCUUCACCGAACCCGAAAAACGACUGGAAAUGCAUCGCGAGAUAUCGUGACAGAGAUUCAUUUGCAGUGUUGUUGCCACGAUGCGAGUGCAGGUGCAAAAUAGUAUACCUUUACGCUCACCGAUUUAAUGAGAACAGUGAGGCUCGUGGGAUCUCAAGGAGCAUCAAAUUAGUUCUGUUCAAUUGUAAUCUGAAAAAAAAAAAAUGACAAUAAUUCAACUUUUUCUUCAUCUACAGAGACUUUUUCUUGUUACAUGAUUUUCCAAUGUAAUUUUCGAUAAAAGCUCAGUAUUACGAUGGAUUGAGAGUUACGAAAUACCUUUUAUUUUCUAAUAUCAAAAGAAUUUCUGUACGUAAUAUCGCUGGGGCGAUUCUUUUCACUUUUUUCACAAGUCCGACCAACCGCCGCCGAGGAAUCUUCUCCUACAAUUGCAGUCAUACGUAUAUUUCUUCCUUUGCAAUUUUGUCGCACUAAGAAAAUCUCAACCCUAAGAAAUCACUUACCUUCUAUUUUCCGUCUUCUUUUUUUUUCUCUCUUUGAUCAAACGUAGAAAACUUCUUUUUCCAAAAAAAGAAACGAGUCAUCCUACCUAUGAGUUAUAAAAUUAACAGCAUUUUGCUUGAUUCUUCGGUGGAUUUUUGGAUUGAUUGAUAUUUUUUCAGCGUCGAACGAUACUCAGGUUGUUCCUUUUUUUUUCUCUAAAAAAUGAAAAGAGAAUUCAAACUUUCGGCUAAAGCACACAACCAUUAGGUAUAUGAUAUUUAAAUCGUUCCGCGGUAUUGACUACAUUAUGAAAACAUUUUCAAUUUAAAAUCAACGUGGUAUAUAUAUAUUUUCGGUAUAAAUAAUUAAAAAAAAAAAAGAAUAGAAAAAACUGGAGCGAAGUAAAACAAAAAAAAAAAAAAAAAGGGAAAAAGGGAAAAAGAAAAAGUAACCACAAUUUUAUGCAGAUAAUAAAUUGAGCUAUCCAUCUUUUGAAAAAUAAAAAUAAAAAAAUAAAGAAACUCACUUGAAUAAAGAAUGCAAGAAAAAUUAUAUCGUUGAUUUUGGAUUUUGAAUCGAAGUGAUUUGAAAGAAGAGAAAAAAUCACCAAAAUUACGUGAGAUUUUUUCUACCUUAAUAAUAGAUCAGGUACACAUCGAUGUUAUAAGAUUUUCGGACUUGAGAAUGAUUUAUUAACUAUAGAUUAAAUAUACAUAAUGUAACAAGAAAAAUUGAUUAUGCUAGUGGUUCAGUUGGCGUGUGGUAAAAUUAAUUGCGAUCAAAUAAUUAAUCAUAGAAAGAAAAAAAAAGUAAGGAGUUUAAUAGAUUUGGAUCUAAUUGUUUACUCUGGUCACCCUUUGAUUAUACUAUAUUCGGCAAACCCGCCAUAUAUACAUGCGUAUACCCUGAGGUAUAACUGGUAAAUAUAUGGGAAAUUGAAUGAAACUAUGUAUGGGUUACUAUAAAUUACCAAAGUGAGCGUGAUUCGGGACGGUUUUACCCACCGUCUACGCUCACAUUGUACAUGGAUAUAACGCGAGUAAACUAAACUUGUGUUGUAAUAGAAACUCCCUUAUAUACCACCACGGACAAUAAACUAUAUACAACUAUAAUAUCCAUUAUGUACACCGAGAAACAAUGUUUACAGACAUGCUUUUUAAAUCACUAAAUUUGCUGUGAAAGCUUUUUCAAAAAUGAACAAAAAAGACUCUACUCAUCAUUCUGGAUUUGAAUUGGUUUUUUUUCUACGGUUUCCUCAAAUACCACUUUCGCCCCCCGCUGCCCCUGCCGCCCUUUCGAAAUCACUCUUCAAAUGACUGGUCACAUACACGUGACUCGUACACUUUACCAUAGAUUCGAUUAAUAUUUAUGUAAUUUCAGAGUUUUUUGAUUUGUUCAUUUUACUUUUUUUUUUUUUUUUUUUUUCUCUUUCAACGUUUCGCGGUGAAGUGAGCCGCGGAACGUUCGUUUAGGAAUACGUAUAUUAUACGUAUAGCACGUCGAUAUCGGUCGAUAACGGGCGUUUUGCUUCGCGCUUAAUACAUACGGCAUAGAAUAUGAUAAUGGAUAAAGUUACGGGGAUCGGGCAUUAGCAUACACACAUACUUACGUACGUACACACCCAUACCAAAGUAUUUCUGCACUGUGAGCACGUCGCUAUCUGCGCUGACCACAUGCCGAGUAAUCUUCUUCGUUAUAUCGGUUAUAUGCAUAUACGCGUAUACAUAUGUAUAUACAGGUAUAAACGAGCUGCCCGGUUACCUUUGCUCUGUUUUGCAUUUACAUUAAACGAAAACGUUUUUAUGUAGGCACAAAGUAGGUACCUGCCUCCCGUUUCAUUCAUUUAUGUACAAGUGUGUAUCUAUCCGUAGGUAUCAUUACCUAUAUAUGUAUGUGCACGUAUGGGCAUAUAUUUAUAUACGUAUUUGUCGAAGGGGUGUUUCUGGUUGAUUAUUGUACAGGUAUAACCACCGAAACACCAUCGUCCGCAAACGAUGUUAUCGCUAAUUGGCUGAAUAUAUUAUUAAACCUAACCGCGAUACUUAUAUCGUAAACAGCUGUACACUCUUUCGCUGCCGUUUUUUCUAAUUAUUGUUUUUUCUUUGUAAUUAUUCCAAUGUUUUAUAAAUUAUAUCCACUAAUUAGUAUACGGUAACACGUUUGUGACAAAAGAGAGAAAAAAAUAAAACAUCCAUGUCGUUUGAUCGUUCGUAGGGGGUGAAAUUUGAUAAGGGUUGAUAGCGCUGCACUUUUCGUUCGGUUUGACAGUUUGCAAAUAAUAUACAUAUAUACGUUUAUAUGUUUUGUUUAUUAUCUUUUUUUUUUUUUUUUCAAGUGGAUGGAAGAGGAACGAUAAUUUACAUGCCACGUAUAGCUUACGUAUCACACCCACAUACACGUAUAAUACGGGUAACUGAUAAUCCAUGUGACGCGGUUUACGGGUGUACAACAAUAUUCCCGUGUAAAGAGGGUGUGACGGUGCGGAGGGGCGGAGGGUUGUAUUUUAUUUAUCCCAGCGAUCUAUUUUAUUUAUGAAAUUUUACCUGCGAGAGAAAAGGUUAUCGCCUGCAUCGCGUAUACGGCCGCGGUGGUUUGGUACGCGAGCGAGCGAGCGAGCGAAAUGCGGACCCUGCACCACCCGUCGACAUUUAAUCUACCAUUUUUCAUCCCCCGGUGAACGAAGAUGUGGUUUAGAGAAGCCCAUAUAAAAUCGAUAUUUCACAUCUAAGCCUAGGACAUGUCUUCAACGUUGCAAUUAAUUCGACCCUUCCAUAAAUUUCUUACCUCAAAAAAUAAUAUUUAUAUCGCGAACAAUGAAGGUGUAGAGUGUAGACGUAAUACUAUGGAAUAUUGCGGGAUAUUUCUGAAUUCCUUCCCUUUUUUUUAUUUCAUCUACUGAUUUCAUGAUUACUCCGCAAUAUCAAUUUAUUCAUUAGCUGGCUCGGAGUGUCCAGAAGCAGGCGGACCUUUUCUUUCUCUUUUUUUUUUUUUUGUAUUUUGUAUUUUUGAUAUUUGAUUUUUCUCUUACACGUGUUACGAUUCAUACUACGGAGGAGAUACGAACUUCCAGAUUACCAAUGACACUCAAUUAAAAUGUGUAUUCUAUAUUUAUACGAAAGAAAUAUGAAGCUUACGAGAAUUUCGUGUGUAACGUAUAAUUCAUCGAUCAUCAAUCGUUUAUAAAUCGUCCCGAUCAAAUAUCUCGACGUGAUUCAUUAGCAGAACUUUUCUCGAAAUUCUCGGCAAUAUAUAUACUCGUCUUGUCCGUAACGACCCACCUGCACCUCACAUCUGUCUCAUCUCCACCAUCCCUUAUAUAUUGGGUGCGAUUUGUCUCUCUUCGAUGAAUAUAACAUCGUGAGAUAUACGGACGAGCGAAGAAAAAAAAAGGAAAAAAUAUAAAAAACCAAAUCUUCGUCGAGUUAUUAAUUAUGCGAAAAUAUUUCAACGAUUAAAUAUAUUCUUAUAGGAGUGCAGCUGAUGCCACUGCUCAUCUUCGAUUCGGUAAAGAAAAAAGAAAAAUGAAUAGAAUUUUUUUUUCCCCAUAAUUUAUUACUCUCGUGCAAAAUAGAUUUAUCUCUCUGUAUAUAGUACAUACGCACUUAUCGCGUUUUUUUGCUACAGAUAUAUCACAAUUUUUACUUUUUUUUCCUCUCUUACUUUUCGUCAGUUCGUUUCUACACGCGGUGCAGUUUUUCCGGCGGAA